rnacentral:rRNA from 1 species
GCCUAAUACAUGCAAGUCGAGCGAACAGAUAAGGAGCUUGCUCCUUUGACGUUAGCGGCGGACGGGUGAGUAACACGUGGAUAACCUACCUAUAAGACUGGGAUAACUUCGGGAAACCGGAGCUAAUACCGGAUAACAUAUUGAACCGCAUGGUUCAAUAGUGAAAGGCGGCUUUGCUGUCACUUAUAGAUGGAUCCGCGCCGUAUUAGCUAGUUGGUAAGGUAACGGCUUACCAAGGCAACGAUACGUAGCCGACCUGAGAGGGUGAUCGGCCACACUGGAACUGAGACACGGUCCAGACUCCUACGGGAGGCAGCAGUAGGGAAUCUUCCGCAAUGGGCGAAAGCCUGACGGAGCAACGCCGCGUGAGUGAUGAAGGUCUUCGGAUCGUAAAACUCUGUUAUCAGGGAAGAACAAAUGUGUAAGUAACUGUGCACAUCUUGACGGUACCUGAUCAGAAAGCCACGGCUAACUACGUGCCAGCAGCCGCGGUAAUACGUAGGUGGCAAGCGUUAUCCGGAAUUAUUGGGCGUAAAGCGCGCGUAGGCGGUUUUUUAAGUCUGAUGUGAAAGCCCACGGCUCAACCGUGGAGGGUCAUUGGAAACUGGAAAACUUGAGUGCAGAAGAGGAAAGUGGAAUUCCAUGUGUAGCGGUGAAAUGCGCAGAGAUAUGGAGGAACACCAGUGGCGAAGGCGACUUUCUGGUCUGUAACUGACGCUGAUGUGCGAAAGCGUGGGGAUCAAACA